ensembl:lncRNA
CUGAGAGGGUGAGUAGGAACUUGUAUCCAAGGUCAAGGAUAUGGUACUCAUCAGUCAGCAGGUUGUACCGUCUCAGCAUCUGGUAACAACACAGUGGACAAUCUUUGCAGGAUGAGCAUUCCUCCAAUCCUGAAAUGUUCAGUAUUUUCCACUGUACAGUGAGGCUUCUCAGCUCAUACUGCAAAUUGUCAACUGUUGCUUGGCUAUCAAAUCGAAGCAAACAUUUGCUGAAGCUCUUGAAGGGCUGUCUCUGGAAGACCAUUGGAUGUUAUUUUGGAUAAGUUUCUAGAGUCCAGAAGGGCUAGGUCAGCAUAUAGAAUGCCAUGAGACAGAAUUCGCCUGUGGAUACUAUCUGUGACUGUAUCCAUAAUUUGAUUUUGGACUUGAACUUUAUAGGCACUCUACUCUCUGCCGCUGUCAAAGCUUCAUCUUGAGCCAUCUAUCCAGACAUGAUUUUCUUCUUUCUUGCCCUUUUCCGUUGCAGAGUGGCUUCCACCUCCUCCAGUUCUGUGUCCUCAUCCUGUUCUUUGAUUUUUUAUUUGCAAACUGAACAAAUGUGUCUGUUGCUGCCUUAAUGGUGUCAAAGUCUCUUGACAUGCCUUUCAGGGUUUCCUGUGUAGCCACAACCAUUUGAUGAGCAGACAGGAUGUCCAUCCCACUUGUCUGCAGAACAGUUGUCUUCGUGUUGGCCUGUCCUUGUAUGGCUGAUAGUGUGAGGAGCACUUCAACAUAGAGACCCUGGUCUGGUUUUCCAAAGGAUCCAAAGACCUUCUUCAAAGCACUAUCCUUAGCCCACCAGCGUGUUUCUCCGAUUGGAGACAGGCAUCUGUGUCGCGUGUCAUGGCUCUUCUUCUCCCACACAUCCAUCCUUUGGUAGGAUUCACGGAGUAACACAGCAAUGCCGUUAAGGAGAGCAAACAGCGACCCACUUGCUAAGACAAUUUCAGUUGUGUCGGACAAAACCAGAUUAAGGACAUGUGCAUAGCACCAUACAGUGCCUUGCAAAAGUAUUCAUUCCCC